CAGGCUCCACGCAGGGAGCCUGAUGCGGGACUAGAUCCCGGGACUCCAGGACCACGCCCUGGGCCGAAGGCAGGCGCUAAACCACUGAGCCACCCAGGGAUCCCCAUAUUUGAUAUUUUUAUUCAAUCCAUAACUAUGAAUAAAUUUAUUUACCCAUAAAUAACAAAUACCAUCCAAAGACAAGAAUCCUUCUUUACCACAAUACCCUUAUCACAACUAAAAUCUUGUUUUUAAGAUUUUAUUUAUUUAUUUAUUUAUUUAUUUAUUUAUUUAUUUAUUUGAGAGAGAGAGAGGUAGUGAGAGACAGCACCAGCAAGGGAGAAAAGGAGAAGCAGGCUCUCCACUGAGCAGGGAGCCCCAUGCAGGGCUCCAUCUCAGGACCCUGGGAUCAUGACCUGAGCUGAGAGUGAAUGCUUAACCUACUGAGUCACCCAGAUGCCCCACAACUAAAAACUUUAACAGUAACUCCUAAUAUUAGCAAGUGUCCAGUCACUUAGUUGAGUCCCCAGUUAUCUCAUAAGGGCCAGAAUUGUCUCUCUCGCUUUUUUUUUUAAUCUUUUAAAUAAACUAUGAUCCAAAUAAGGUCUGAACACUCUGGCUGGCUAUUAUGUCUUUUAUUAUUUAUUUGUUUAUUAUUUGAGAGAGAGAGAGAGGGAGAGAAUGAGCAUGGGGAUGGCAGUGGGAGAGGGAAAGAGAGAAUAUUAAGCAGACUCUCUGCUAUGCAUGGAGGAGAUGUGAGUCUCAGUCUUAUGACCUGAGACAUCAUAAUCUGAGCCAAAAUCAAGAGUUGGCUGCUUAACCAACUGAGCCACCUACGUGCCCCAGUUAAUAUGUCUUUUAAAAUCUUUUAGGGAGUUCCUGGCUGGCUCAGUUGGAGGUGUGCAACUCUUGAUCUUGGGGUCAUGAGUUCAAGCCCCAUGUUGGGUGCAGAGAUUACUAAAAAAAAGUAAUAAUAAACUCUAAAAAAGAAAAUCUUUGAAACUACAGAUUUCCCUCCUUUCCCUUUGUCCCUUUGAAAUUUUUUGGUGAAGAAAAUGGAGUGUUUGUUCCUUAGAAUUUCUUGCAGUCUGUUUUGCUGAUUACCUCGCUGUGGUGUGGUUUGACAUGUUUCCCUGUCCCCUGCAUUUUCUGUGAAUUGGUAGUUAUAUUUUGAGGCUUGAUCACAUUCAAGUUCAAUAUUUUGGGCCAGACUAAUUCAUAGGUGGUCAUGGUCUUUUCCAUAAGAAGCACAUAUAGUCUUUUUUGUUUCUUUUUUGUUUGCACCACUAAUGCCCAAUGCCUAUGUCCGUUAGUUCAUUCAUGGUUCGGUUAUUUGUUGUUGAUAUUGUUGUCUUAUUGUGAUAAAAUAUAUGUAACAUGAAGCUUACCACUUAAACCAUUUUCAAGUAUACAGUUCAGGAACAAUAAGUACGUUUACACCGCUACGCAGUGUAUCUUGAUGGGCGCGGGGGGGGGGCGGGGGGACCGGGGCUCCAAGAUGGCGGAUCAUCCGGCCAACCCUCUCCAAGAUGGCGACUUUCCCGCCACUUUCACUGCGGCCUCCAGGUCACCACCAGGAAACUGAAGUUUUCCACCCAGGAACUUCCCAGUUGGGAACUGUCCAUCACGGGCUUCUCCCACCCCAUGACCUCUCUACCUUACCUAAUACGGACACAAGCCUAUGGCCUGCCUCAACCCGAUAAAAGGACCCUGCCAACUCCCUCCCAGCGCGACUUCCACGACUCACACUCUCUCUCUCUUUCUCUUCUCCUCCGUGAGUCGUGGAACCUCGCCCGAGGGUGCUUGCAAUAAAGUUCAUCUCUCAGAUCCACUUGCCUUGUAGCCUCUUUUCUUACCACCGUCGGCAGGAGAAACUUUACAACCAUCAUCCAUCUGCAGAACCUUUAUCAUCUUUCUAAACUGAAACUCAGCGCCCAUGAAACAGUAACUCUCCAUUCCCUCCUCUCAUCAGCCCUUACCUAGCCACCACCGCUCUACUUCUUGUCUCUAUGAACUUGGCUGUUCCUAAUCCCUCAUUUAAAUGAAAUCAAAUAGUAUUUUUUCUUUUCUGGUUUCUUAUUUUACUUAACAUAAUGUCUUUAAAAUUCACUCGUAUUGGGGAUACCUGGGUGGCUCAGUGGUUUAGCACCUGCCUUCAGCUCAGGGUGUGAUCCUGGGGUCCCAGGAUUGAGUCCCACAUCAGGCUCCCUGAAUGGAGCCUACUCUCCCUUUGCCUGUGUCUCUGCCUCUCUCUCUCUCUCUCUCUUUCUCUCUCGGUCUCUCAUGAAGUAAAUAAAAUCUUAAAAAAAAAAAAUUCACCCGUGUUGUAGUAUGAGUCAGGAUCUCCUAACUUUUUUUUUUUUUUUUUUUAAGAUUUUAUUCAUUUAUUUAUGAGAGACACAGAGAGAGAGAGAGGGAGAGACACAGGCAGAGGGAGAAGCAGGCUCCAUGCAGGAAGCCCAAUGCGGUACUCAAUCCUGGGACCCCAGGAUCAAGCCCUGGGCGGAAGGCAGGUGCUAAACCACUGAGCCACCCAGGGAUGCACAAGAUCUCCUAACUUUUUAAGGCUGAAUAACAUUCCAUUGUAUGUAAAUAUCACAUUUUGUUUAUCCAUUCACCCAUCAGUGGAUACUUGAUGCAAACAUGGUAAUACUUCCUACUGAAUUUAAUCUAAAAUUACAAGGCAAAGCAGUGAUAAUAUAGGAAACAUAUACUGCAGCAAAGUCAUCAGGUAAUGAAUCUCAGGUAAUGUCAAGGGGCUGUAUACACUUCCUGUGCUAUCAAAAGUUAAAACAAAAAGCAAGAUCAAAAAAAAAAAAGCAAGAUCCCCAUUCCCUCAUGGAUUUGAAGCAUAUAUAUUUUCUGAGCUUGAACUAAAGUUCCAGCAGUGUUUUUCAAAUCUCAAUGCAAGUGGAAAGAAAAUUUCUAUAUUUCACUUAAUUGUGCAGUUGAGGAGUUUCCUCCUUCAUUUUGAUGUGAUUAAUCCACAAUGUAAUAACAUGGUAAAAGGCAAAUAUCAAGGAAAGAAUAUAAAAGAAUUCUAUAAAUGUCUCUCAGGUGAUGAAUAUGCUCAAUUAAAAUUACACACUAUUGGAUUAAUAUCAGCAUUUGGCAGUACUAUCUGUGUGAAAGACAUAUUCAAAGACGAAAUAUGUAAAAUCUCAUUACAGAUCGACACUAACAAAUGAACAUUUGCAAUUGAUUUUGAUGACAGGGAAUACUAACUUUGUACCUCAAUUAAGCAGCAAACCUCUAUUACCAAAAAAUUGUACUCAAUCAUUAUACUUUGAGUUCUGUCAUUAAUAAAUUGUGGAAAUGUUUUCUUUAAUUUUUAUGUACUUAUGUUAUAUCCUUGAUUUUACUUUUUGGCAUGCAAAGCCUAAUUACUAUUUGAUCCUUUAUAGCAUAAGUUUGCCAACCCCUGGUGUAGAAGAGCACUGGACAAGUACAGCCAGCUGCUUCUAGCCAUUCAGAUAAAACCCUUGAUCCCUCCCAGGUUCUUCUACUUCUGUCUUCCACUCAGUAAAUGGCCUCUAAUUCAAUUACUCAAGCCAAAAUUCUGGUGGUCUUCCUUGAUUUUUAUUUUCCCACAAUCUCUAUAUUAAUCUGUUAGAACGUCCUGUGUUAGCCCUACCUCCAAUUAUAAUAGCUUUAAUCCGUUUACUUCUCUCCAUAUCUGCUGCUUUUAUCCACCUCUUGUCUGUACUACUGAAAUAGUCUGAUUUGUCUCUGUUUCCACUCUUGCCUCCAAAUGAUCCAAUAUUCCCUCUGUAGCUAGAGGAAUCUCUUUAAAAUGUUAAAAGAUCAUUCCUCUCUACUUUAAGCUCUUUAUUGCCUUCCCAUUGCAUUUCAGAUGAAACCCAAAUGCCUUAACAUGAUCUGAAAGGCUCUAUAUAACUCAGCCCCAGCCUAUCUCUUCUAUCACAUCUGCAUCGGACAGAACAUUUGUGUUCCCCCAAAAUUCAUAGGUUGAAAUCAUAACCCCCCACUGUGAUAGUAUUCUCCCCCAAAUUCUCCCACCUCCUUUGGGGAGGUGAUUAGGUCAUGAAGGUAGAGUCCCAUAAAUGGGAUUAGUGCCCUUAUAAAAGAGACCUCAGGGAAAUUCCUUUGUCUGCCAUGUGAGAACAUGGUAAGAAGAUACCCAUCUAUGAACCUGGAAGCAAGUCCUCAUGAAGCUCAAUCUGUUGGUGCUUGAUCUUGGACUUCCCAGCCUCUAGAACUGUGAGAAAUGUUUAUAAGCCACCUAGUCUAUGGUGUUGUUAUAGCAUCCCCAAUAGACUAAGACAACAUCUCAUUCCUCUCCAAGUCCAUUGGUUUGUCACACACCUGCCUCAUUUUCUUUCUUGGCCUUUGCAUUUGCUACAUACUGUAUUGGAACCUUCUCCCCUGUCCCACUUUGUAAGUCUGGGUCUUUCUUCUCCUUUGGAUACUAAAUCAAUGUGUACAGCAUGCCUUCCUUUUCUGUUAUCCUCCACCUUAUUACUUGAUUUAUUUUCCUUACAGCACUGGAAUGUAAUCUUAUGAGGGUAAGAACUGUCCACCAUGCCUAAAACAGCACCCACAUAUAACAGUGGAUAGUUGACAAAUACUUACUGAGUAAAGGAAAUGCCAAGAAAAUUCUAUGACAGCAAAAUAAGAGCUAUUAGAGUACACAGCAGAGGUCCCACUUUGGCCUAAUGGUCAGAUUUCUAAAGGAAGUGAUGCUUCAGUUGAUAUCUGAAGAGAGUAAGAAUUAGCCCACUAAAGAUUAUUUCCAGGGUAGGUAACUAUUCUAGGCAGAGUGAUAAGCAUGAGGAGCAAAAAGAAAAAAAAAAAAGCAGAGGCCUAAGGAAAACAUGAGUGGCAAGAGUGCAACAAUUGGGAGCAGAUCCUUGGACUUCAUCAAAGAGCAGGAGGGAGCAAAUGAAAGGUUUAAGCUGGAAAGCUAGUGAAACAGUACUUUAUGCUUUAGAAAGAUCACUCUGGCCAUAGUGUGUGGGAAUGAGACACAAAGGGAAGCAAGACAAAAAAAAAAACAAAAACAGUUAGGAGGGUGCAGUAGCAGUAUUGGGAAUGAAAGAACGUAUCAAUUUGAAAUAUUUAGGAGAUAGCAUUGAUAGGGCCAGUAUGGGAUGUGAGACAGGGGCCCAGGAAUACUCCCAGCCUUUAGUCUUGGGCAUUUGGGUGGAUAGUGGAACUUUUACUAAACCUCGAAACAACAGAGCAGCUGGCUAGAGGUGGGAUACAGUAUUUUAGACAAAUUGAGCUUGAGAGGCCCAUGAAGUACAGACAUACCUGGUUUGUUUAUUUAUUUAUUUAUUUAUUUAUUUAUUUAUUUAUUUAGACAUACCUGGUUUAAACAUCUGUCUCUUCAAGUGAUAAUCCUGCUCUUCUCAUCAGUGCCAGGUACACAGCAGGCUUCAUUGGGUUUUUUUUUGUUUUGUUUUGUUUUGUUUAAAGUAGGCUUGAACUCACAACUGAGAUGGAGACUUGAGGUGAAAUCAAGAGUCAGAAGCUGAACCAGCUGAACCACCCAGGCGCCCCAGCUGGCCCUAUUGUUGAAGGAAGGAAAGGAGGAAAUCUAAGUGAAUCUGGGGGUCGGGAAAAAUGGAGAUAUAAAAUUAAGGGUCAUCAGUAUUUAAAUGGUUUAACUCAGAAGAGUGGAUAAAAAUCACCCAGGAAUAUAUAAAGUUAGAAGAGGGUGCAAAGACCCCUGAAGAACUCUAGUAUUUAUGAGAAAGGUAAUAAUGACAUUGAGUAUGCCUCAUUUCCCCCUUAGCUGAAAAUAUUUCCCCUUAUAUAUUUGACCCCUCCCUGAGAUCACUGAUCCCAGUAAAGGUUCCCCAUUAGUGGGGAACUAAUGGUCUCCCUCAUAAUAACAGCUAACAUUUAUCAAGUUUACUGAGGGCAAGGUACUGUCCUCAGCAUUUUACAUGUAUUAAUUCUUACAAACCUGUGAGCAUGAGUAAGGACAAAUGAGGAACUCCAGAGUGAAAAUGAUGAACAGAUGGGGUAAUUAAACGAGCAAGGGUUUUGGGAAGGGGAUUAGCCUUGGUCAGUAGGAGGG
rnacentral:lncRNA from 1 species